AAACAAAGAGCAUUAAAACGAGAAAGUGGAUAGAAAUAAAAGGUAAUUGGUAACAGAAUAGAUGAUGAUAAUCAUGCUAUAUCUCCAAGAUCCAAAGUAAGCCAUCUCAAAGAUGCUAUAGGGUGGAGAUGACAUCUGGAUUGUUUUUGAAGAAUGUUUGAGAUAGCUGUCCAAGUAAUGCCUUUAUGUGCCUCCAUCCAGAAUGGAAACAGAUCAUUACCCAAACCUAAGAGAAACUAAUGCAGAUCCAACCAACAUUUUGCUUCAAUACAGCCUAAAUUACAUGUUAACUACACUACAAGUAGCAUGUACCAAUUUACAAAAGAUG
rnacentral:misc_RNA from 1 species